rnacentral:rRNA from 1 species
GACAGAGGGUGCAAACGUUGUUCGGAAUUACUGGGCGUAAAGAGCUCGUAGGUGGUUUGUCGCGUUGUUCGUGAAAACUCACAGCUCAACUGUGGGCGUGCGGGCGAUACGGGCAGACUAGAGUACUGCAGGGGAGACUGGAAUUCCUGGUGUAGCGGUGAAAUGCGCAGAUAUCAGGAGGAACACCGGUGGCGAAGGCGGGUCUCUGGGCAGUAACUGACGCUGAGGAGCGAAAGCGUGGGGAGCGAACAGG